rnacentral:rRNA from 1 species
CCUACGGGGUGCAGCAGUGGGGAAUAUUGCGCAAUGGGGGCAACCCUGACGCAGCAACGCCGCGUGAUUGAAGAAGGCCUUCGGGUUGUAAAGAUCUUUAAUUGGGGACGAAAACAAUGACGGUACCCAAAGAAUAAGCCACGGCUAACUACGUGCCAGCAGCCGCGGUAAUACGUAGGUGGCAAGCGUUAUCCGGAUUUAUUGGGUGUAAAGGGCGUGUAGGCGGGAGCGCAAGUCAGAUGUGAAAACUCAGGGCUCAACCCUGAGCCUGCAUUUGAAACUGUGUUUCUUGAGUGCUGGAGAGGCAAUCGGAAUUCCGUGUGUAGCGGUGAAAUGCGUAGAUAUACGGAGGAACACCAGUGGCGAAGGCGGAUUGCUGGACAGUAACUGACGCUGAGGCGCGAAAGCGUGGGGAGCAAACAGGAUUAGAUACCCCUGUAGUC